CGUUUAUAUCUCCUCCUCCUCCCUCCUGAUAGAUUCUUUAUAUCUCGCGAUAUCGGCUGUAUUUAACGAGAGAACGCGCACACGUGACGCGCGCACGUGAUGCUGCAUAUUCAUAAGUCGCGAGCCUCGUAGCGCAAUAGUUCCGCGAGCGACUCCGACACGCGCGCAGAGUAAAUUCCUCGAGCGUAAUGUACGAUAAUGCCAAUAAUGCACAACCGCGAGCGGGCGAGGGAACGAACGAACGAACGAACGAACGAACGGACGGACGGACGGUCGGCUCCUCUCUCUUUCGCGAUUGCAUCCACCGCGCGCCCGAGGUGCUUGCCGCUCGACGUUUAGAGGCUCGGUUCUUCAUCCGUUAAGUCGCAAUUUCCUUCGAGCGUAGAUUUAAGCGUAUCUUGUCGUCUUAAAACCUGGCUGUGCCUAAAAGUGUUCCCCUUCUCCUUCCACCCUUCCCGCGAGACAACGUAUCCAGACAGAUCAUUAUCCGCAGAUGUCUCAAUUCGUUCACCGUCCGAGAUCUCGGGGUGAUUUCUAGCGUCGUGGGUGCAAGGCUUUGGAGUUUAAAUCGACCGAUUGUAAAUCCCAUGUUCUCCCAAUGAUGACCACACUACUCUUCCUGGAAGCGCCAUCCGUCCCGCGGUUGUGACCGCGAGCUCCUUGUCAUCCGACACGUACGUGUCGCUCUCUUCCGCGCAGCGCGGCACGGAAACGCGUGCACGCGCGACGCGCAGCGGGGAGAGAGUUACGAGCACGGUGAUUGCGAGCACGUGGGCGAUUCAUUAAUAUCGUGUCGCCCGCGAGACCGUGCAACGUUGUAGUUACAAUGCGGCCGGGAGAGACUGCAGUUGGUUAAACGGAAUAGGGAGGUGUGUGUGUGUGUAUGUGUGUGUGUAUUUGUGUGUAUAUUAUAUGUAUAGUAUAUGAGUCGCAGUGUCGGCGGACGAAGACUGCGGUUAACGACAAUUGACUGGAACAUGUGCCCGGUGUAUUGAUUACCGCGGCUGGUGGUGCCUCGUUAAAGAGUUUUUCUCAUAAACGCGCCGCUUUAAACAUACAAUUGACUACUUGCUGCCUGAGAAACACGCACUAUCGCAAAAAAAAAACCUUUAUCGUUUUCCCAGAAAAUUAUCCUACGGAUGAUAUAUUCUUGACAAUUAAUAAUAUUUUUAUAAUAUUCUGUUAUCUAAUUGUCAAACGUUAGAUCGUUAUUUCUGUAAUCCGAGAUGUAUAAAGAAAAUAAAAACGAGCGUGAAUCUAA